UACGGAGGGUGCAAGCGUUAUCCGGAUUUACUGGGUUUAAAGGGUGCGUAGGUGGGUAGGUAAGUCAGUGGUGAAAUCUUCGAGCUUAACUCGGAAACUGCCAUUGAUACUAUCUGUCUUGAAUACUUUGGAGGUAAGCGGAAUAUGUCAUGUAGCGGUGAAAUGCUUAGAUAUGACAUAGAACACCUAAUUGCGAAGGCAGCUUACUCAACAUCAUUGACACUGAGGCACGAAAGCGUGGGGAUCAAACAGG
rnacentral:rRNA from 1 species